rnacentral:lncRNA from 1 species
GACAAUGGUUACUUGACUUCGCCCGCCUCCUCAAGGGUUGUACUCCAUGCAUCGAGCUGGUUACUGACCUUCGCCUGCUCUUUGCUCAUACUUCUGAAGCACUCGAAGUGUUUGCACUCCUUGCAUUGAGUUAGUUACUGUGAUUCACCUUCUCAAUGCCAUCGAACUUCUGGAAUGUAGGAAGUUUUCACCCCAACUUAGAGUAAUUCUCUAAUAGAUUUAGUCGCCUAUGGGAUUGUACUGUCUUCUCCAUCAACCCUAUCGCAUACUCCACCGAGUAGCAAAGGUAUAGCACCGCGUACUGUUUGCUUCGUUCCUUGGUCGUGCACUCUUGCAUGACUCGAAGUCCUUCACUUUUGGCUAUCUUGAUGAGAAGCUCGUUGACACCGGUCUUAUGAAGUUCCUUGACCUCUGCCCUUCAGCCUUGCCUCGGUACUUGGAGUUUGCCUCUGCAUGCUCUACCUCCUCGGCCCCUUUCACGAUCAAGUGCUCUCCCUCCAUGAGAGCAAGGGAUCAAUGACUUUCACAGAAGUCCCACCUCUGUGGUACCAUGGCGUUGCCAUGCCCAUGGCCCUACUAUCCGUCGCCUCGCAUCUGCAUCCCUUUUCUUCACGAUCAGUAGAUAUGUCUCUGUGACACUCCUCCGAGUCCACCUCCAUUUUAACUGAUGCUUGAUUUUGUGUAGCUAAGUCCCUCUAGACUCGUCGUCGCUUCCUCACCCUUUCAACCCCUUGCUUCAACACCUUUGUGUUCUCCAAGCAUCUCCCUUUGGUUGAUAGAAAGAUAGAGUACAACUCUCAUGCAUGGCCUCUACCAUCACGUUGUAGGGUUUGCACCGAUUCUGUUCUCCUUAGCUUCCUUGUUUGCAACGUUCGCUUACUCGACCUUGUCCUUUGACUUGUCGGGCUCCCUUAAGCGAAUAUGGCUCUGGAGCAGUCCAACUCUCCAACUGCUUCGAUCAUACCUCUGUAUGAUCAANNNNNNNNNNNNNNNNNNNNAAAUCCAUAGCCCUUCUUGCCAUUAUAUUGUUCACCGAAGUGGAGCUCCUAGUAGCUCCCGAUCAUACCUUCGUAUGAUUUAAUCCUUCACGGGACUAUAUUCGUGUGUAUCGCAUUGCCAUGAAUUGUUCCACCACGAUCCGCUGCACUAUGUCGCCUCCUGGUGACAUCUCUAUUGCAUUCUGAUCCUUGUGGGAUGAACUCGAAUUGUGAUCCCUCCAUGUGUGGCCUCUGCCAAUACAUGGCAGGGUCUCUUCCACCUUCGAUUUUGUUCGCUCCUUUGGCAAUCGACCUUCAUCCACCCACUCUUGGGUCAUACCUAGAUGAAGCACCGCUCUAGGACAGUCCGUCGCCUAGUAGCUCCCGAAGUCCACCGACUUCGCUGAAAAUGGUACGCCGUUGUCUGGAUCCUGGGCCUCUGCCCCUACCAGCACAAUCUCCGCUAUGCACCGCUUCCUUCAUGGCAACUUGAAUGGCAACACUAUGACAUAUUCUUCAAGAGUACCCGCCUCCGCAUCCUCUUGCCCCGUGCCAAGACUUUCUGAACCCAACUUCACCUUUGCAAGUUGAAUCGCCUUAGUUCCUCCAUCAAAUGCUUCUCCAAGAUAAGGUGCAUGUGCCCAAAAGCUCCCUUCUUCUUUUGGCACCAUAUAAGAUGAGUCUACUCCGUCAAAAUGAAGGACUCAUAAAACAACAUGAUCCUGCUCUUGCCUCUACAAGAGUUCAUGUCCUUGACCUCUGUUCAAAGAAAGCUCUGUGCCUCCGCUCCAUGUUCCAUCUUCUAUGUCGGCUCACUUCAUACGGCUUAGGUACUUCGCCAAGUUACACCCAAGUUGCUCCGCUCCUCGUUUUGCAUUGAGUUGAUGGUGGCCCUCGUGUCUACCAUUCCACGGGUCAGCCUUCCUUUGAGUCCGAUUUCCUUAUCGACUCCAAGUGUGCCUUCAUUUGUGUUGCUUUGGGUCACUCCCCCACUUGAUCUCAUAAUGUAUCCACCAAUGCAUUCUCUCAAGCGAGAUCAUGCGACGACUCCUCACCGCUCGCUCGGUCCAUCGAGCUUCGUGGAGUUGUUGUUUUUGUUUUUGAGGUACUCCUCAACAUGUGUGGUCCGUCGCACAUGAUUCUCCCUUUGAAGAGCCGAGACUUAUCCCUCCUGGAUAUCUGUCCCGUUGGAGCAACAUCUCUUUUCAUUUUAGAGACCACCAACCCCUUGGACUACUCCGAUUUGCUAAACAAACUGUGCAUUGUUCUGCCUCCUGCAAAUGCACUUGCUAGAUUGCGACUCCACGUUAAUACAGCUCCCGCUGCACCACUUAAGGCCUAGCAACAUAUUGAACUCACUGCACACUUCAGCCUCCUACGGACGUAUCCUUCACAUACCGAAAAGAAAGUUUCAAUGCUCCAUGAUACUGAGUUUCGAUCGCCUUGGGCUAGUCACGAACAUUCCAUCGUCCGCAUACAAGCCCUUGCAUGAGUACCAAAUUCUUCAAGUUAGCAAUUCCCCUCACCUCUGUGAGCUUUGCACAACUCUUUCGGUCGCUGAGCAACUCAUUCAACCUUAUAUGGUCUCAUCCUUUACCAAGCGCCUCGCUUACCUUGAGCACCAUCGAGUAUAAUUGUCAACGUCGAGCCGUAGCUCGAACUCAGCUAUUCCAACCUUUGUGCGCUCCGCAUUCUUCCAAGCUUGCUUGUUCUCGUGGUGCCUCUUGCGCGAAGGGUUGGUCAUUCCUCUUAAUGCCAAUCUCAGAUGCCCGCUCCUCCGAGCGACUCCUUUUCCCUGCAUCUCCAUGCCUGUUUUCUCCCAAACGGUCGUGCGUGUGCUGACUGCCCUCAACGCAACACUGCUAGGUCCCCCACAUUUGCAUACCAACUGUUUCAAUGAGUACUUGUCCCGCUCUGACACCAUCUGUCACGGACUUAGCUGAUUUUGCCUAUAAGUCGUGCAGCACCGUUGCGUGUCCGUCCGCAAAGGUCAGCCUCCCCGAAACCUCCAAUGAUCCCUUAGGACCUACAAAAGAGAAAACGGGUUAGAGAAAGCGUCUCACUCGGGAUCUACAAACAAAUAUUCUAGGAAAUACUUCAUAGAUGAUGUAAAUUAAAAACAGACUUUACAAACUCUGAACAGUUGCACAACAAAGGGUCAAAAUGGUCCACUACAGACCGAAUAUCUCUCACAAGUGUCCACAUGACACAACCUUUUUUUACAAGCCUAAGAAGGCCACCAAACUCAACUAAAAUGGGGCUGUUAAGGCUUUAACCGUUCCUUUACAUGCUGUGCAUAGCAUGAACAAGCAGAAAGAAACGGACAUACAUAAGUAUUACAUUAAACAUCCUGUUUAGAACUUUGUCCGUGACAGCAAGCUAUAAUCUCGUGUAGGGAGUUCUAUUCUUUACUUGAACCAUUCUGGAUUCGGAUUCUAACAUAGCAUUCCUUUCUUCCCGAAUGAUGACAUGGUCUUGAGCUCACCUGUGCCAUUAUGGUUAUUAUAGUCUGGUUGCUUUGCUCAUAGACUGUAAGGUACAUUAAUUCGCUCUAUGUAGAGAAAUAGGUUAACAUUGUUAUAGCUGUAUACCAGUUGCUGCCAUUUAUGCCUUCUCUCUCUAUGGAACAUUAAUUCACUUAUGGUUCUUCUGUCAUUUAUGGCUUCUAUCUCUACAUCUCUUUCACUCUCUUAACUCUAAACAAAUACAUUAUAUGGCCCUCACGAAAGAUCAUCACUAUCGCAAUCAACAAAAUGAAUAAACAUAUUAUUUCGUAAGUGGUCCACCACCAUGGGUUCUGUGUCACUUUUUUAUGCAUUCUUGCAUCAAUAUUGGUGGUGGUGGAUGGGAGGGCGAUAUGUAGUUUGGUGCUGUAGGUGGUAUCAAUGGGACAAUUAGAAAGAGGAGAGAAGAAGAUGAAGGGUAUUUUUGUCUUUACAUGGUUUUUUUAUUUUCAACUAAUCGAGUCAGGUAGCAAAUAUGCACAAGGCCGAAUGCCUUGUAAUCUAUGACUAGGAAAGUGACAAUAUAAGAAAAAUCCUUAAUAUUUUUAUGAGUUAAUUUGAUAUGGUUAGGUGUGUUUACAAGUUAUGUAUGCUUAGUGUUUUCAGGUGAUGAUACAGGAUUCUAAGCAAUUAAUAUUGGCUAACAUUCUGAAUCUUCCUAAUCCUAAACCUUUACCGUGUAGAAAUUUUAUCAUGACACAAUACCAGAUGAAUUCAAGUUCUUUCACAUGGUUUAUGACAUUCAAAUGAGGCUUUGAUUCAUCUUGAAGUCAUCUUCUGAUGUAACAAUCCAGUUUACCCGAGCAAAAAAAAAAAAAGAUGUCUAAUGGAAUGUCUCUAAUACACUUUUUGAACUAUAAAUGUUGCUUGGAAAGAUAUCACAAACUAGGUAACUGAACUUUUUGAACUAUUGGUUUGUUCACUACAUGUAAAAUAUUCAUAAGUUGUUUACAUCAUAUUAACAUCUUGUAAUGAGGUACUUUGUUCAUGAUAAUAUUUUUUGGUGGAUACAGAGGUAUUGACUAUGCACUCUCAGUCAAUGAUAUUCCUGGAAUUGCCAAUCGUCUUCCUUCAUUAAUAAUACAGGUAAUAAGCAUAAAAGUAUUCUUUAGUAUGCAAGAAAACAUUCUACCUUCUCAUACAUGUUAUAAUUUGUAGUGUUGUAAGAAAGUGAUGAGAUGAAAUACACUUGCCAAUCAUAAUGUAAUGUUAACAUUAAUUUAUAAUGACUUGGCAAGACCGGAUGGAUGUUGCUUAUAGUUGCUUAUUCUUGUUCUCUUCUGUUAAAUACAAGUCAAUGGUUGGUUGUUUAACAAUUAAAAUCUGGAUAAGCUCUUUAAAUCUAUGAGAUUUUUCUGUGAACUUUGUGCUAGGAGAAAUGAUGCACAUUGAAUAAUUCUAGAAUUAAAACAAGGUAUUCUAUGGAUGUUCUCAGUCAUCAAUAUUACAUUCAAAACAGAGAUUUCUGCUACUCAUUAUGAUGAUGAGCAACAUUUCCAGUACUUGAGUAAUUGUAAAAAAAAAAUGGUAUAAAUGAAGUUAUACUCUAUCUUAGUGAAUUGAAAUUGUGCUUGAAAAUUUUAUGGAGGUUUGGAAGAUUGGAAUUAGGUUUAAGAUUGUCUGGGUGCAAACAGUUAGAACUGAUGAUUGAUCAUUUUAGACUCACAAAAUCAAGAUUGAUCAAGAAAAACAAAAAAUCAAAAUAUAUAAAAAAAAUAUAAAAAAAAUAUAAAAAAGAAAAAUACUAGGAAACAUAUAAAAUUUUUUUAGCUAUAGAUUCUAUUUUUCAUAGUCCUUAUAAAAUCUCAUUUUUCAAAAAUAUGUAUGGAAUUAAAGCAUACAGAUACCAAUGCAUGAGGUUUCCAUCAUACUAGGUUUGUGAAGGAUCUAUCUAGUCUUUUCUUGCAAGCAAAUGAGUUACAACGCCCGGAAGAAUCAGUUCAAGCAGUUCUACCAUUGCAAGCAGAAAAGCUAUUUCUAAAAUUUGAAUCCUAGUCUUUUAGGUCAUAGAAGAGCAACUCUUUCAUGGCACCAACCUAACUCAUGUAUGGAACUAAAAUAUAAAAGAUAAAAAGUUAUGAAUGAUAGCAAUAAAUGUCAUAUCAUACAAAUAUGUUAUCAUGAUAAAUAACUAUUACAAACCUCAAAACUUGUUAGCCGUCUUUUUUUAAUAUAAUUGAUGGCCCCCAUUAUGGUCCUAUAGCUUUGAUAACAUUAUAUAUGUGAAGUAUUGGGUAAUUUAAAGACAAACUAAUAAAAAAAGAUUCUUUUUGAAAAUAUUGCCCUUGAUUUGAAACCUAGGACACCUCCUUUGUCCUUUUAAUGGUAUUUCAUUUGAUUAAGAGAUCAUGAGCAAUUCUUUGUCCUCUGCCUUUUUCUCGUUAUUUCUCCUUUGUCUUAUGAGGUGGUGAUGGAUAACUAACAUCACAACAAUGGUGGCAGAUAACAAGUGUGGGGGUUGCAAAUUUGCAAUGAUAGUGAAUAUAGUAGUACAUGCAUUACCUCCAUUUAACUGUCAUCAGCAAUGGUACUUUUUUCUUUUCCUUCUUCAUCUCCUUUUCCCCUUAUUACUGCCAUCUAUGGUGAUCUUUGACCUCCUUAGGCUUCUCCUCUCUUCUUCUAUUAAAGUCAUUAAAUAAGAGGGAGAUGCUAAAUUGUAACCAACUUUGGUCAAGUUCAAUAGUGUUUAGCGGAUUAAUAUUGAUACUUGAUGAUAAGACCGAGAAAUUGGUUUAAUUUGGUCUGGCCUAAGACAAUAUCAUUACAGUAUCAUACGAUGUUGCAAACAGUGGUUUUUAAUAUAUUCCACUUAAUGUCUUAGAGCAUAUAGAUUAUUGCUUAAACAGUGUCACAGUUAGUACUAGUUCAGUAGUUUUCCUUUCUCAAAGCUGGUUACACCCAUCCAACAAGAGAAGGGUAUGGUAUAUUUGCAACUAUGAGUUUGUUGAAAAGUUAAACCAAUGUACAAGGACAGGUGCAGAAUUUGAUUUUACGGAAAACUGGAAACUUUAUAGACUGCUUGAGCAAUAUUAUGAGUGUGAAACUUUUUCAGUAUGCUAGCUUCUUAAUUAACUUGUUAAGUAUCUACAAGUUUGAUAUUUCUUAGUAGGUUCAAGAAUUGUUCAGGAAUGGUGGUAACACUUUUAUGUUUGGUACGAUUUUAACUUUCAAUGAGAAAUGAUAGUUGUGGGUUUUGGACUUACUGAUGGAAUAUUCUUAUUAUUUUCUAUAUAAUAAAAUUGACUAUUUUAGAGAAGGGAUUUACUUGCCGAGGCACUCAUCCAUGCUAAUACACCAUCAGCUGGUACAUGGUAUGCAGAAUGUGCUGUGGCAUGGGUUUACCCCAGAUAUAUAUUUGGGCAUGUACUUGUCACAUUCCAGUCAGCAAGGUCAGCAACUAGUGGCAAUGUGUGUUGUUAAGUAAAUUCUCCACAUUUGGGCUAAUUUGAAUUUAUAUUUGUAGUCUUCAUAUGUACUAUCUUAAAGGUUCACCACUGUGAAAUAAACAUAACACUAUCAAUCUACUAUAAGGAUGCAAUAUGUAUAGAAAACUUGUUAAGUUGUUGCAUGCUAUUUUUGUUAGUGACAGAUCUUGAGAAGGAUAGUACUUUUUUUAUUGGUGACUAUUGGUUCCUAAUGAUUGACCAAAUUAUUAAGAGUACAAUUCUAUUUUGACCAUUGACUAUCACUGCCCAAAACGGUACAAAACGGGUGGUACAUGGAUUUGUACAUGAACCACCCUCGUUUCAGGCAAUCCUGUCCAACUUAGGAAAUUAAAAAAAAACAUAAAAAUAGUGAUGAGGCCUGUCCAACUCAGCAUUAAAAAAAACCUAAAAUAGAAAUAAGGGCUCGCGAAUGUGAACCCUCUUCUCACAAGGCCAUCGCCACUAUCAUCGCUUCGUGAUGCCGUUGUCAUAGUCACCGCGUUCCUUCUUCUUCCCAGGUACACUCCCACCUCCUCUUCCUUCUUCUUUCUUCUCGUCCUCCACUUCUUCCUUUUUUUUCUUACUUCCUCUUCUUGCACAUCCAUGCUUCCUCCUCUUCCUCCGCCUGCCCUUCCUCUCUGAAAUGCCACUAUGUACUAGUGUACUGGCACACGAUGCACCGGUACUAACUAGUAUGCUGGUUCGACUAGAUAAUCGAAACGGGUCUGGUACUCGAAACAGCGAUCCUUGAUUUUGACUGUUUUAUUUUCAUUUAUUAGGCAUUAUAUUAUUGAUAUUUGACUUUGCUUUUCAUACUUGAUUGAAAUUUUCUUACCUUCUGACUUUAUUUCUAUGUAUCAAAUAUUGUCUUGUGGUUAUCUUUCCUGCUUUUAUUUCUAGCUGUCUUUAUCAACUGAACUUUCUUUUUUGCAAGAGUUCGAUAGCUCAUAUAUUUUCACUAUUGUGUUAUAUAGGUCUAUCAACGUCGGAAUGAUCCUCUACUCCGACCAGCUAUUAUGGUGCUAAUGAUAUCUGCCAAGGUAAUUUGUUCUACAGAUUUGUUUUUUCUUCAGCAAUGAGAAUUCAAAAAUCACAAUCAAUUUGGUUUUAGGUAAUAUAGUUGUUUUUGAUUUGCAGCUAUGUAUACAAAAAGCAUGAGAAUGGCAUAAUCAAUCUGAUUAUUGUUUGUUAUUGUACUUAUAUAUGUCCUCUUAUUUGUUCCUGUAGCUUCAUAUCAAGGAGUUUCCAUUCUGAAUUUCUUCAUUUGAUAUGUAUAGUUCUUUAGCUACUUAAAAAUGAUUUUCUCUAUGAUACUUAACUAGUCACUGAGUCACUGACUGAGUUGGAGUCACCAUCUACAUUAUGGCCCUGCAUGUUCUCUUGGCUACCGAACAUUUCUCAUUUAAUAUGUUAGUUUUACUUUUUAUAAGUACUGCUCCAUUUAUUAUGCAUAUUAGUUAUCUUAUUAAUCUUGUUUUUUUAAUCUUACUUGAUAAUCAAUUGAGUUGGACUCAAGAUCUAGUUUUAUAGCUUGCUUAUGUCAAGAUAGCUCAAAGUUUCAAUGAUGGACAUUGUUAACAACAAGGUAUGCAAUAUCGUACUGUAUCGGAGUUUCGACGUUCGCUCGGUACGGUACGAUAUUGUAUACAGAGCGGUGUAUCGUUCAGUAUACUGCUCAAUAUAUAAAUAUAAAUAUAAAUAAAUAAAUAAAUAUAUAUAUAUAUAUAUAUGUAUAUAUAUAUAUAUAUAUAUAUAUAUAUAUGUAUGUAUGUAUAUGUAUGUAUAUAUAUAUACAUAUAUAUAUCGUUCCGUCUGGUAACGGGCGGUUCGUGUACCGGUCAACUGACGGAUCGGUACGUACCGCCCGUACCGGGCUGUCACAGACUUAGCUGGUUUUGCCUAAAUUGUGCGGCACCCUUGCGUGUCCGUCCGCAAAGGUCAGCCUCCCUGAAACCUCCCAUGGUCCCUUAGGACCUACAAAAGAGAAAACAUGUUAGAGAAAGCGCCUCACUCGGGACCCACAAGCAAACAUUUCAGGAAACACUUUAUAGACAAUGCAAAUUACAAACAGACUUUACAAGCUCUGAACGAUUGUACAACAAAGGGUCAAAAUGGUUCACUAUAGAUCGAAUAUCUCUCACAAGUGUCCACAUAACAUAACCUUUAUUUACAAGCCUAAGAAGGCUACCAAACCCAACUAAAAUGGGGUUGUUAAGCCUUCUACCAUCCCUCUACAUGCUGUGCAAAGCAUGAACAAACCGAAAGACACAGACAUACAUGAGUAUUACAUUAAACAUCCUGUUUAGAACUUUGUUCGUGACAUUCUCCCCCCACUUAUUCCUUCAACGUCCUUGUCGAAGCCUUUGCUGACACUGCAACUCCUCGCCUUUGUUGAGUCUUCAAUAUUCUGCUCCAGCUGCAAUGCACCUCUUAGCUCCCAACUGCUCUCCGCUGCUGUUUUUGAGUAGUCGAACCUUUGAUCCGCUAUGUUGCUUCAACUCGCCAAUGACUCUGACUCUAGUGUGGGGUUGGCUGAGUUGUGCUUAUCCCUGUUGCUUCCUGCAAAUCCAUCAGAUGAAGGAAAAGACCAUCCUUACUAUGCGUUAGUCUCUCAAAUGCCUCGUGCUGCUUGAAUUGGGUAGAUGCUUGUUAGAGCUUUAACGAGCAUUACCUUGGAAACUUCUGAAGUUUUGGGUCCUUCCUCCACAAAAUUUGUCUAUUGACUCUUCUUCCACUUAGUUGUCACUUGCAAGUAGAUUUGCAUCACUUCCGCUUUCGAUUGACAUUCUAUUAGGAAAUGAAGUGGAUAAUCUACUCUCUGUAGCACUGAUCACCAUUGGUGAGGAUUUGACAACUAUUGUCUUCUAAUAUCUUCGAAGGGUCUUUGAACCUGUGCAGAGCUCCUCUGCUUGAUAGAUAAGAGAAUUGAGGUACUCGGUUUCGUCCAUUCUCUUAAGAGUUGAGAAGGCAAUGGUUACUUGACUUCGCUCGCCUCCUGAAGAGUUGUACUCCAUGCAUCGAGUUGGUUACUGACCUUCGCCUGCUCUUUGCUUACACUUUUGAAACACUCGAAGUGUUUGCACUUCUUGCAUUGAGUUAGCUAUUGUGAUUCACCUUCUCAAUGCCAUCGAACUUCUGGAAUGCAAGAAGUUUUCACCCCAACUUGGAGUAAGUC